CUGUGUUGGAGGACACGCUGCUGAAAAAUAUUACUCUGAAGGAUAACCUUGAUACGCUAGGAUUAGAAGUGGACCGACUCACGCGCCAAGUUGCAAAUUACAAAAGCUAUAAACGAUGAUAUCAAAUCAAAUAUAAUACAUGAAUAUUCCUUGCCGUGUAAUAGAACAUUUUUAUUUGUUUUAUUUUUUUUUAAAUAAAUAAUAGUCCUGCCAUAGGUAGGCUCUUCUACAAACAAA